rnacentral:misc_RNA from 1 species
UUGCCACUCAAAACCAGAUGGAUUGAAGAUAUAAGGAGCAAAGAGCCACGAAAUGACGAGGAACCAACUGCUGAGAGUAAGUAAAACAAAAGAACUUGCACCUCCUUCUGAAUACCCAUACGCAAUGUAGACAAUAAGAAGCAAUGCCACCUCAAGCGCCUUGAUGAAAUGACUUCUUGAGUAGAGGCGAUAAUUUUCAGCAAAUUUGAUGUGCUGGACCACAAAGCCUCUGCCAGUUG